UAGAGUGGCGUACGGGUGAGUAACACGUGACUAACCUUCCUUCGAGUGGGGAAUAACCUCGGGAAACCAGGGCUAAUACCGCAUAACAUCUCCGGGUGAAACUCCCAUUGAUCAAAGGGGUAAGGCGCUUGAAGAGGGGGUCGCGGCUGAUUAGUUAGUUGGCGGGGUAAUGGCCCACCAAGACGAUGAUCAGUAUCCGGCCUGAGAGGGCGCACGGACACAUUGGGACUGAAACACGGCCCAA
rnacentral:rRNA from 1 species